GCUUGUGUAUCAUUAUUCAGCUUGCUGCGCCAUGCAUUCCUUCCACUCACCUGUGUUCUCUCUUUCCAGACUCAUGAAUGUGAAUCACUCUCAGAUAGAUCUUUUGAGUCAGUGCAUGUAUUUGUGCCAGCCUUAAGCUUAUCCCUGUGCCGUGGUUGAUGGAAUUGAUGCAAGUUUACCAGACAUUUGAUGCUGCGACGUGCCUUGCCUGAUCCUGCUGCUUGCUGAUUGCCUGCCUGCUUUUGCCCCUUUAUGGGGCAUCAAGAGUUGAGUCUAGAAAAACCUGGGAAUUAAACUGAAUCCAAGGGCAUCCUUCACCACGACUCCAGUGCAGCAAGUGAAAUUGGAUUGCUCCUUGUGGCGGGCUGUUGACAAGCACUGAGAGAACCGUGAUUCCUUUGAGUAACCUGCCUCAACCUUAGUGGAGCACACAGAGGAGAGACUUGCUGAACUAAUUUUCACAUUGUCCGGAAUUAUUGUGCCAGUGCAAAUAUGUUUUUAUUGUGAUGUUCUAGUAAAAGAAACAAGCAAUUUUAGAUGGUAAUUAGGGAUUGAUUUUAUUGCCUGACCAUGCGUUUGCCAUUUGUAUCUUGUGUGAUGUCAGCCCGUGUGGGUGACCUUGUUUAACUGGUUCUUUUGUUUUAGUGAUUAGGACUUGCGAUUUGCUAGCUGCAACCAGGACUGAGGGCCUGGUGAUUUUGCGAGAUUUCGGCUGUGUUGUUAACGUGCAAGCUCCAACUGCUAGCGUGCCUUGCUGCUGCCAUACCAUCAUACCACUACUAACCCCAUUUCACUCUGCACCAACUGGCGGUGUCUGCACACUUUGUUGGUUGUAUGCUGGUUUCAGUGUUUCAUAAUAUAUUUCUCUAAGCUGUG